AGCGAACGCUGGCGGCAGGCUUAACACAUGCAAGUCGAGCGGGCGUAGCAAUACGUCAGCGGCAGACGGGUGAGUAACGCGUGGGAACGUACCUUUUGGUUCGGAACAACCCAGGGAAACUUGGGCUAAUACCGGAUAAGCCCUUACGGGGAAAGAUUUAUCGCCGAAAGAUCGGCCCGCGUCUGAUUAGCUAGUUGGUGAGGUAACGGCUCACCAAGGCGACGAUCAGUAGCUGGUCUGAGAGGAUGAUCAGCCACACUGGGACUGAGACACGGCCCAAACUCCUACGGGAGGCAGCAGUGGGGAAUAUUGGACAAUGGGCGCAAGCCUGAUCCAGCCAUGCCGCGUGAGUGAUGAAGGCCCUAGGGUUGUAAAGCUCUUUUGUGCGGGAAGAUAAUGACGGUACCGCAAGAAUAAGCCCCGGCUAACUUCGUGCCAGCCGCCGCUGU
rnacentral:rRNA from 1 species